GACGAAGGGGGCUAGCGUUGUUCGGAAUUACUGGGCGUAAAGCGAGUGUAGGUGGUUGUCCAAGUUGGAUGUGAAAGCCUUGAGCUCAACUCAAGAAAUGCAUUCAGGACUGGGCGGCUAGAGGACCGGAGAGGAUAGUGGAAUUCCCAGUGUAGUGGUGAAAUACGUAGAGAUUGGGAAGAACACCGGUGGCGAAGGCGGCUCUCUGGACCGGUACUGACGCUGAACUGCGAAAGCCAGGGGAGCAAACGGG
rnacentral:rRNA from 1 species